UGAUCCUGGCUCAGAUUGAACGCUGGCGGUAGGCUUAACACAUGCAAGUCGUGCGAGAAAGUAUCUUCGGAUAUGAGUAGAGCGGCGGACGGGUGAGUAACGCGUAGGAAUCUACCUAGUAGAAGGGGAUAGCCCGGGGAAACCCGGAUUAAUACCGUAUACCUCCUUUGGGAGAAAGAAGGCCUCUCUUUAGAAGCUUUCGCUACUAGAUGAGCCUGCGUAAGAUUAGCUUGUUGGUGAGGUAAAGGCUCACCAGGGCGACGAUCUUUAGCUGGUCUGAGAGGACGAUCAGCCACAUUGGGACUGAGACACGGCCCAGACUCCUACGGGAGGCAGCAGUGGGGAAUAUUGGACAAUGGGCGCAAGCCUGAUCCAGCCAUACCGCGUGUGUGAAGAAGGCCUUCGGGUUGUAAAGCACUUUAAGCAGGGAGAAAAAGUUAUAAGUUAAUACCUUAUAACCCUGAUGUUACCUGCAGAAUAAGCACCGGCUAAUUCCGUGCCAGCAGCCGCGGUAAUACGGAAGGUGCAAGCGUUAAUCGGAAUUACUGGGCGUAAAGCGCGCGUAGGUGGUUUGUUAAGUUGGAUGUGAAAGCCCUGGGCUCAACCUAGGAACUGCAUCCAAAACUAACUCACUAGAGUACGAUAGAGGGAGGUAGAAUUCAUAGUGUAGCGGUGGAAUGCGUAGAUAUUAUGAAGAAUACCAGUGGCGAAGGCGGCCUCCUGGAUCUGUACUGACACUGAGGUGCGAAAGCGUGGGUAGCGAACAGGAUUAGAUACCCUGGUAGU
rnacentral:rRNA from 1 species